GCAGGGGGAACCCUGACGCAGCAACGCCGCGUGAAUGAUGAAGGCCUUCGGGUUGUAAAGUUCUGUCUUCUGGGACGAUAAUGACGGUACCAGAGGAGGAAGCCACGGCUAACUACGUGCCAGCAGCCGCGGUAAUACGA
rnacentral:rRNA from 1 species